rnacentral:rRNA from 1 species
AUUGAACGCUGGCGGCAGGCCUAACACAUGCAAGUCGAGCGGAUGAAGGGAGCUUGCUCCUGGAUUCAGCGGCGGACGGGUGAGUAAUGCCUAGGAAUCUGCCUGGUAGUGGGGGAUAACGUCCGGAAACGGGCGCUAAUACCGCAUACGUCGUGAGGGAGAAGGUGGGGGAGCUUCGGACAUCACGCUAUCAGAUGAGCCUAGGUCGGAUUAGCUAGUUGGUGGGGUAAAGGCCUACCAAGGCGACGAUCCGUAACUGGUCUGAGAGGAUGAUCAGUCACACUGGAACUGAGACACGGUCCAGACUCCUACGGGAGGCAGCAGUGGGGAAUAUUGGACAAUGGGCGAAAGCCUGAUCCAGCCAUGCCGCGUGUGUGAAGAAGGUCUUCGGAUUGUAAAGCACUUUAAGUUGGGAGGAAGGGCAGUAAGUUAAUACCUUGCUGUUUUGACGUUACCAACAGAAUAAGCACCGGCUAACUUCGUG